CAGGUGGCGGAAUUGGUAGACGCGCUGGACUCAAAAUCCAGUGUCCUCAACAGACGUGCGGGUUCGAUUCCCGCCCUG
rnacentral:tRNA from 2 species